rnacentral:rRNA from 1 species
GAUGAACGCUGGCGGCGUGCCUAAUACAUGCAAGUCGAGCGAACGGACGAGAAGCUUGCUUCUCUGAUGUUAGCGGCGGACGGGUGAGUUACACGUGGAUAACCUACCUAUAAGACUGGGAUAACUUCGGGAAACCGGAGCUAAUACCGGAUGAUAUUUUGAACCGCAUGGUUCAAAAGUGAAAGACGGUCUUGCUGUCACUUAUAGAUGGAUCCGCGCUGCAUUAGCUAGUUGGUAAGGUAACGGCUUACCAAGGCAACGAUGCAUAGCCGACCUGAGAGGGUGAUCGGCCACACUGGAACUGAGACACGGUCCAGACUCCUACGGGAGGCAGCAGUAGGGAAUCUUCCGCAAUGGGCGAAAGCCUGACGGAGCAACGCCGCGUGAGUGAUGAAGGUCUUCGGAUCGUAAAACUCUGUUAUUAGGGAAGAACAUAUGUGUAAGUAACUGUGCACAUCUUGACGGUACCUAAUCAGAAAGCCACGGCUAACUACGUG